UACGUAGGGUGCGAGCGUUGUCCGGAAUUAUUGGGCGUAAAGAGCUCGUAGGCGGUGUGUCACGUCGGCCGUGAAAACCUGCAGCUUAACCUGUGGGCGUGCGGUCGAUACGGGCAUCACUGGAGUUCGGCAGGGGAGACUGGAAUUCCUGGUGUAGCGGUGAAAUGCGCAGACUAUCAGGAGGAACACCGGUGGCGAAGGCAGCUCGCUAGGACGGUACUGACGCUGGAGACGCGAAAGCGUGGGGAGCAACAGGAUAGAAACCCC
rnacentral:rRNA from 1 species